CUUGAAUAUGGGUUGUCAAGUAACCCACACCAUGCACAUUUUACACAUCUGUAUUGCUCAAAAAUAUGAAUUCAUUUCAGGGUCAUCUGGCCAACUCAAUGAUCUUGCAUUCUGGAACAGACAGACCACAUACCAACUCAGCACUGAUGAGAAACACCGAGUACAAUAGGAGAGAAAUAACUGGCAAAACAAAUGCAGGAUUUUAUUAGUUGUGGUAAGUAGUUGUGCAGUUCAGUAGCCGUGUGGUCAGUAGUUGUGGUGAGUAGUUGUGUGGUUGUUGUUGUGGUCAGUAGGUGUGGUCAGUAGUUGUGGUCAGUAGUUGUGUGGUUGUUGUUGUGGUCAGUAGUUGUGGUCAGUAGUUGUGUGGUUGCUGUUGUGGUCAGUAGGUGUGGUCAGUAGUUGUGGUGAGUAGUUGUGUGGUUGUUGUUGUGGUCAGUAAUUGUGGCGAGUAGUUGUGUGGUUGUUGUUGUGGUCGGUAGGUGUGGUCAGUAGUUGUGGUCAGUAGUUGUGUGGUUGUUGUUGUGGUCAGUAGGUGUGGUUGUUGUUGUGGUCAGUAGUUGUGGUGAGUAGUUGUGUGGUUGUUGUUGUGGUCAGUAAUUGUGGUGAGUAGUUGUGUGGUUGUUGUUGUGGUCAGUAGGUGUGGUCAGUAGUUGUGUGGUUGUUGUAGUCAGUAGUUGUGGUGGGUAGUUGUGUGGUCAGUGGCUGUGGUCAGUAGUUCUGUUGCUGGUUCUUUGGGCCCUAUAAUAUGGACAUGAUCAGCAGAUGUGUUGUGGUCAGUAGUUGUAUUGUGGUCAGUAGUUGUAGUCAGUGAGUGUGUGGUUGUGGUCAGUAGUUGUGUGGUUGUGGUAGUAGUUGUGUGGUAGUCAGCAGUUGUGUUGUGGUCAGUAGUUGUGUGAUUCAGACGUUGUGUGGUCAGUAGCUAUGUUCAGUAGUUCUGUUGUUAUUUAGUAGGUGUGUAGUUGUGGUCAGUUGUUGUGUGGUUGUCGUCAGUAGUUGCGGUCUGUAGUUUGUCAGUAGCUGUGUGGCUGAGGUCAGCUGUUGUGUGGUUCAGUUGUUGUGUGGUCAGUAGUUAUGUUCAGUAGUUCUGUUGUUAUUCAGUAGUUGUGUGGUUUUGGUUAGUAGUUGUGGUCAGUAGUUAUGCUCAGUGGUUGUGGUCAGUAGUCAUUUUGUUGGUACUUUCGGCCCUACUGUAUGGAGUCGUGUGGUCAGUAGUCAUGUGGUUUUGGUCAGUAAUUGUGUGGUUGUAGUCAGUAGCUGUGUGGUCAGUAGUUGUGGUCAGUAGUUGUGUGUUUGAGCCGUAGUUCUGUGGUCAAUAGUGUUGGUCAGUAGUGGUCAGUAGGUAUGGUCGGUAGUUGAUUGGUUGUGGUAAUUAGUUAUGAUCAGUGGAUCUGGUCAGUAGUUGUGAUGUCAGUAUUUGUGGUCAGUAGGUGUGAUCAGUAGUUGUGGUUGUGGUCAUUAGUUAUUUUGCUGGUUCUUUGGCCCUACAGUAUGGACAUGGUCAGUAGUUGUGGUCAGUAAUUGUGGUUGUAGUCAGUAGUUGUGCAGUUCAGUAGCUGUGUGGUCAGUAGUUGUGUGGUUGUGGUCAGUAGUUGUGGUCAGUGGUUCUGGUCGGUCGUUAUUUGGUCAGUAGUUUUGGUCAGUCGUUGUGUCCUUUGGACCCUACAUUAUGGACGUGGUCAUUCGUUGUGGUCAGUAAUCCAGGUCAGUAGUUGUGUGGUUCAGUAGUUGUGUAGUUGUAUGGUCAGUAGUUGUGUAGUUGUGGUCAGUAGUUGUGAUCAGUAGUGUUGGUCAGUAAUGCUUAGUGUCUGUGUGGUUAAGUAGUUGUGUGGUUAAAUACACAGCUGUACAUUUCGAUGAAACAUGGUGAAGCCACAAAAUUGCCUACCCUGGAAGCCUGUGUUUCAUACUUAAGGAAGUGGAUGGCGGCAAAUGUUCUUCUUUUAAACUCGGACAAAACAGAGAUGCUAGUUCUAGUCCCUAGAAACAAAGAGAUCUUCUGUUGAAUCUGACAAUUAAUCUUGAUGAUUGUACAGUUGUCUCAAAUAAAACUGUGAAGGACCUCGGCGUUACUCUGGACCCUGAUCUCUCUUUUGAAGAACAUAUCAAGAAUAAUUCAAGGACAGCUUUUUUCGAUCUACGCAACAUUGCAAAAAUCAGAAACUGUCCAAAAAUUAUGCAGAAAAAUUAAUCCAUGCUUUUGUCACUUCUAGGUUAGACUACUGCAAUGCUCUACUUUCCGGCUACCUGG
rnacentral:lncRNA from 1 species